AAUAAGUGCAGUUUUGUACUAUUUAUAUUCAACGUUUGACCGUUUGUCUUAUUUGAAAUUUUUUUAUGAUUAGUAUUUUUAUUAUUAUUAGAUGAUAAAACAUGAAUAAUACUUUAUAUGUGACUAAAUAUUUUUAAAUAAGACAAACGGCCAAAUGUUGGGCACGGAUAUCCACGGCUGUACUUAUU
rfam:Oryza barthii chromosome 6, whole genome shotgun sequence.